rnacentral:rRNA from 1 species
CCUACGGGCGGCAGCAGUGGGGAAUAUUGGACAAUGGGCGAAAGCCUGAUCCAGCCAUGCCGCGUGUGUGAAGAAGGCCUUCGGGUUGUAAAGCACUUUCAGUGGGGAAGAAAGCCUUGGGGCUAAUACCCUCGAGGAAGGACAUCACCCACAGAAGAAGCACCGGCUAACUCCGUGCCAGCAGCCGCGGUAAUACGGAGGGUGCGAGCGUUAAUCGGAAUUACUGGGCGUAAAGCGCGCGUAGGCGGUCUGAUAAGCCGGUUGUGAAAGCCCCGGGCUCAACCUGGGAACGGCAUCCGGAACUGUCAGGCUAGAGUGCAGGAGAGGAAGGUAGAAUUCCCGGUGUAGCGGUGAAAUGCGUAGAGAUCGGGAGGAAUACCAGUGGCGAAGGCGGCCUUCUGGACUGACACUGACGCUGAGGUGCGAAAGCGUGGGUAGCACACAGGAUUAGAUACCCGAGUAGUC